CCUACGAGCGGCAGCAGUGAGGAAUAUUGGUCAAUGGCCGCAGGGCUGAACCAGCCAAGUCGCGUGAGGGAUGACGGUCCUAUGGAUUGUCAACCUCUUUUGUCAGGGAGCAAAGGGCGCCACGUGUGGCGUUUUGCCAGUACCUGAAGAAAAAGCAUCGGCUAACUCCGUGCCGGCAUCCGCGGUAAUACGGAGGAUGCGGGCGUUAUCCGGCUUUAUUGGGUUUAAAGGGUGCGCAGGCGGAAUGUCCAGUAAGCGGUAAAAUGUCGGGGCUAAACCCCGUCGUGCCGUGGAAACUGGCGUUCUUGAGUGAGCGGGAAGUAUGCGGAAUGCGUGGUGUAGCGGUGAAAUGCAUAGAUAUCACGCAGAACUCCGAUUGCGAAGGCAGCAUACCGGCGCUCAACUGACGCUCAUGCACGAAGGCGUGGGUAUCGAACAGGAUUAGAUACCCCAGUAGUC
rnacentral:rRNA from 1 species